rnacentral:lncRNA from 1 species
GAAUUGUUGGGCGAGUGAGUUGACAAGCCCGUUGUGCUAUGCUAAGGUCUGCAUUGCAGCCAUCUAUGCACGUGAACCGUUGGAUUAUCCAAAUUUGACGGUCCAUGUUAAUUUGUCAUUUAAAAAAAUAAAAAAUAAAAAAUAAAAAUCUGAAAAAAGCCUGUGUCAUAAUGUGGCACAAUUUGGGUAUUUGGAUUGCAAAAAAAAAAAAAAAAAAAAA